rnacentral:rRNA from 1 species
CCUACGGGAGGCAGCAGUGGGGAAUAUUGGGCAAUGGGCGCAAGCCUGACCCAGCAACGCCGCGUGAAGGAAGAAGGCUUUCGGGUUGUAAACUUCUUUUGUCAGGGACGAAGCAAGUGACGGUACCUGACGAAUAAGCCACGGCUAACUACGUGCCAGCAGCCGCGGUAAUACGUAGGUGGCAAGCGUUAUCCGGAUUUACUGGGUGUAAAGGGCGUGUAGGCGGGGAAGCAAGUCAGAUGUGAAAACCACGGGCUCAACCUGUGGCCUGCAUUUGAAACUGUUUUUCUUGAGUGCUGGGGAGGCAAUCGGAAGUCCGGGUGUAGCGGUGAAAUGCGUAGAUAUACGGAGGAACACCAGUGGCGAAGGCGGAUUGCUGGACAGUAACUGACGCUGAGGCGCGAAAGCGUGGGGAGCAAACAGGAUUAGAUACCCCAGUAGUC